rnacentral:rRNA from 1 species
CCUACGGGAGGCAGCAGUGGGGAAUAUUGCACAAUGGGGGAAACCCUGAUGCAGCAACGCCGCGUGAGUGAGGAAGUAUUUCGGUAUGUAAAGCUCUAUCCGCAGGGAAUAGAAAAGAAGGUACCUGAAAAAGAAGCCCCGGCUAACUACGUGCCAGCAGCCGCGGUAAUACGUAGGGGGCAAGCGUUAUCCGGAUUUACUGGGUGUAAAGGGAGCGUAGACGGAAAGGCAAGUCAGAAGUGAAAGCCCAAGGCUCAACCAUG